rnacentral:pre_miRNA from 1 species
AAUAAACCAAUCUUUCACUUUUUACCUAUAAUCUUUGACUCUUCGUCUGAUUUAAAUUUUUUUGCGAUUGAUAUUUUUUUAUUAGAUGAUAAAUCAUGAAUAAUACUUUACGUGUGACUAAUUUUUUUCUAAUUUAUUAAAAAAUUUUCAAAUAAAACGAAUAGUCAAACGCUAGUCAUAGAAACCGAAG